rnacentral:rRNA from 1 species
UACGGAAGGGGCAAGCGUUGUUCGGAAUCAUUGGGCGUAAAGGGCGCGUAGGUGGUUUUGUAUGUCUACCGUGAAAGCACGCGGCUUAACCGCGUUCCGUCGGUAGAAACUGCAGGACUUGAGGCUGGGAGGGGCUGGUGGAAUUCCCUGUGUAGCGGUGAAAUGCGUAGAGAUGGGGGAGAACACUCGUGGCGAAGGCGGCCAGCUAGACCAGUUCUGACACUGAGGCGCGACAGCGUGGGGAGCAAACAGGAUUAGAAACCCCCGUAGUCC